rnacentral:rRNA from 1 species
GAGUUGUUUGGGAAUGCAGCUCUAAGUGGGUGGUAAAUUCCAUCUAAAGCUAAAUAUUGGCGAGAGACCGAUAGCGAACAAGUACAGUGAUGGAAAGAUGAAAAGAACUUUGAAAAGAGAGUGAAAAAGUACGUGAAAUUGUUGAAAGGGAAGGGCUUGAGAUCAGACUUGGUAUUUUGCGAUCCUUUCCUUCUUGGUUGGGUUCCUCGCAGCUUACUGGGCCAGCAUCGGUUUGGAUGGUAGGAUAAUGACUAAGGAAUGUGGCUCUACUUCGGUGGAGUGUUAUAGCCUUGGUUGAUACUGCCUGUCUAGACCGAGGACUGCGUCUUUUGACUAGGAUGUUGGCAUAAUGAUCUUAAGCCACCCGUCUUGAAACACGGACCAAGGAGUCUAACGUCUAUGCGAGUGUUUGGGUGUAAAACCCGUACGCGUAAUGAAAGUGAACGUAGGUGAGAGCUCUUAAGAGUGCAUCAUCGACCGAUCCUGAUGUCUUCGGAUGGAUUUGAGUAAGAGCAUAGCUGUUGGGACCCGAAAGAUGGUGAACUAUGCCUGAAUAGGGUGAAGCCAGAGGAAACUCUGGUGGAGGCUCGUAGCGGUUCUG